GAGGAGCAGGAAGAGGAGGAGCAGGGGGAAGAGGAAGAAUAGAGGAAGUGGGGGAGCAGGAAAAGGAGGAAGAGGAAGAGGAGGAACAACCAUCACAGUUCCUCCCACCCUGGAAGCAUCGCCCCACCUGCAUUCCACAGAUGACUGGGGAGGGGGAGCUCGCCCCAGAUAUCUUGGGGGGUCCAUGUUGGGUUUUUGGGGGGAGGGGAUGUUUGCAGCUUAAAGACUCCAGAAUGAACUGCAAAUGCCCCUUGGGGAGAUACUGGGGGGUCCCCAGCAGGUAGGUUUUUUUGGUGGGGGUCCCAGCAGGUGCCAGCAGGCAGGAGCCACGUGUCCCAUCUCAGGGGGCGUCCACCAGUUUUGGGGACCUCCAGCAGACCCAGGUGGGGAACGCCGGGACCCCCAGAGUGGGGAGAGUGGAGAGGGGUGAUACUGGAGCUGGGUGAACCCCAGCAGCCUGGGGAGGGGGGGAGCACAGAGAUGGGAGAACCCUGGGACAUGUAGCAUCCAGGAGAGGAGAAAAUCUGGAGGAGAGGACCUCUGGGAUACUGAAACUGGAGCCUGGAAAGAGAGGACCCCCAGCAGCCUGGAGAGGGAUUUCUGAUUCCCAAACCUUGGCUGGAUGGAGGAGGAGGCUGUGAGGAAGAUGCCCCAGGACACCCAGGCAGGCCCCGAGCUGAGGACGGAGAGCCCGGAG